UACGUAGGUGGCGAGCGUUGUCCGGAUUUACUGGGCGUAAAGAGCGCGCAGGCGGUCGUUCAAGUCGAGUGUGAAAGCCCCCGGCUCAACUGGGGAGGGUCACUCGAUACUGAUCGACUCGAAGGCAGGAGAGGGAAGUGGAAUUCCCGGUGUAGUGGUGAAAUGCGUAGAUAUCGGGAGGAACACCAGUGGCGAAGGCGGCUUCCUGGCCUGUUCUUGACGCUGAGGCGCGAAAGCUAGGGUAGCAAACGGG
rnacentral:rRNA from 1 species